UCUCAAAGUUCUUUAACUGAUAAGAAAGAAUCCAAUCCAAAAAAUAGUUCCGAAUUUCUAUCACUGACAGAUGGUCGUGCAUGGUAUACUAGAUUUCGUUCAAAUACUCCAAUGGCUGCAGAAAUACUGGAAAAAGUAAUGUUCUUUGAAGAGAAAAUUUAUGAACGUCAAAACAUACAUUCUCCAAAUGUUCAGACAAGUGAAUCAUUAUCAAGAGAAUCAUCUAUGGGAGCAACAGACUCAGAACGAUCGUCUAGAUCAAAUGAUUUUAUUGCAUUAUUGCCAUCGAACAAUAAGAGACUUACAGAGAAUGAAGCAAAAACUAAAGCAAAAGAUGAGAAAAGAGUGGCAGUAGAUUCAGAGUCCGUUUCCUCAUCACAAAAUCUGAUAAAUCAUAACGGUCACGUGACUAAAUAGCAACCUAUACUUGAUAAUUUAACAAGACACGAAACGAAAAACACCAAAUUUCACCAGUGUAUCACCAUCAAAUGUAGUGUGAGGUAUGAGCAUUUGUCAAGAAAAUAUUUAUAUGGUUAGAAAUUUCAUUAAUAUAUAAGUAAUAAUUAAAAUACUGAUUCACAUUUAAAUAAAUAACAUUAUAAUUAUGAUACAAGAUAUUUUUAGGAACUGGGCUGUAAAUCUGGGUAAUAGUAGAAUACAAAUGUUAUAGAAAGUAUUAAUCAAGUUUGCACUGUUAUUAUAAACAUAGUGGUUUAAAGGUUUACGAUGACUAGAAAACUUUAUCUUUUCCUGCAGCACUGCCAAUAGUUUAUUUAAAAUGAAUAAAAAUUUUAGCAAACGUAAAAA